CUGGUUGAUCCUGCCAGAGGUUACUGCUAUCGAGAUUCGACUAAGCCAUGCGAGUCGAAUGUUCUUCGUGAACAUGGCGGACUGCUCAGUAACACGUGGACAACCUACCCUUGGGUCUGGCAUAAUCCUGGGAGACUGGGUAUAAUUCCAGAUAGGUCACAGAUGCUGGAAUGCACUGUGGCCGAAAGCUCCGGCGCCCAAGGAUGGGUCUGCGGCCUAUCAGGGUUGUAGUGGGUGUAACGGACCUACUAGCCUACGACGGGUACGGGUUGUGAGAGCAAGAGCCCGGAGAUGGAUUCUGAGACACGAAUCCAGGCCCUACGGGGUGCAGCAGGCGCGAAAACUUUACAAUGCGGGAAACCGUGAUAAGGGAAUCUCGAGUGCCAGCAUAUAAUGUUGGCUGUCCAGAUGCCUAAAAAGCAUCUGUUAGCAAGGGCCGGGCAAGACCGGUGCCAGCCGCCGCGGUAACACCGGCGGCCCGAGUGGUAACCGCUUUUAUUGGGUCUAAAGGGUCUGUAGCCGGCCAAGUAAGUCCCUUGGGAAAUCUGGCAGCUUAACUGUCAGGCUGCUAGGGGAUACUGCUAGGCUUGGGACCGGGAGAGGUGAGAGGUACCUUGGGGGUAGGGGUGAAAUCUUGUAAUCCUUGAAGGACCACCAGUGGCGAAGGCGUCUCACCAGAACGGACCUGACGGCAAGGGACGAAAGCUAGGGGCACGAACCGGAUUAGAUACCCGGGUAGUCCUAGCCGUAAACGAUACUCGCUAGGUGUCGGCCACGGUGCGACCGUUGUCGGUGCCGUAGGGAAGCCGUGAAGCGAGCCACCUGGGAAGUACGGCCGCAAGGCUGAAACUUAAAGGAAUUGGCGGGGGAGCACCACAACGGGUGGAGCUUGCGGUUUAAUUGGAUUCAACGCCSGG
rnacentral:rRNA from 1 species